rnacentral:rRNA from 1 species
CAUGACGAACGCUGGCGGCGUGCUUAACACAUGCAAGUCGAACGGAAAGGCCCUGCUUUUGUGGGGUGCUCGAGUGGCGAACGGGUGAGUAACACGUGAGUAACCUGCCCUUGACUUUGGGAUAACUUCAGGAAACUGGGGCUAAUACCGGAUAGGAGCUCCUGCUGCAUGGUGGGGGUUGGAAAGUUUCGGCGGUUGGGGAUGGACUCGCGGCUUAUCAGCUUGUUGGUGGGGUAGUGGCUUACCAAGGCUUUGACGGGUAGCCGGCCUGAGAGGGUGACCGGCCACAUUGGGACUGAGAUACGGCCCAGACUCCUACGGGAGGCAGCAGUGGGGAAUAUUGCACAAUGGGCGGAAGCCUGAUGCAGCAACGCCGCGUGCGGGAUGACGGCCUUCGGGUUGUAAACCGCUUUCGCCUGUGACGAAGCGUGAGUGACGGUAAUGGGUAAAGAAGCACCGGCUAACUACGUGCCAGCAGCCGCGGUGAUACGUAGGGUGCGAGCGUUGUCCGGAUUUAUUGGGCGUAAAGGGCUCGUAGGUGGUUGAUCGCGUCGGAAGUGUAAUCUUGGGGCUUAACCCUGAGCGUGCUUUCGAUACGGGUUGACUUGAGGAAGGUAGGGGAGAAUGGAAUUCCUGGUGGAGCGGUGGAAUGCGCAGAUAUCAGGAGGAACACCAGUGGCGAAGGCGGUUCUCUGGGCCUUUCCUGACGCUGAGGAGCGAAAGCGUGGGGAGCGAACAGGCUUAGAUACCCUGGUAGUCCACGCUGUAAACGGUGGGUACUAGGUGUGGGGUCCAUUCCACGGGUUCCGUGCCGUAGCUAACGCUUUAAGUACCCCGCCUGGGGAGUACGGCCGCAAGGCUAAAACUCAAAGGAAUUGACGGGGCCCCGCACAAGCGGCGGAGCAUGCGGAUUAAUUCGAUGCAACGCGUAGAACCUUACCUGGGUUUGACAUGGAUCGGGAGCGCUCAGAGAUGGGUGUGCCUCUUUUGGGGUCGGUUCACAGGUGGUGCAUGGCUGUCGUCAGCUCGUGUCGUGAGAUGUUGGGUUAAGUCCCGCAACGAGCGCAACCCUUGUUCACUGUUGCCAGCACGUUAUGGUGGGGACUCAGUGGAGACCGCCGGGGUCAACUCGGAGGAAGGUGGGGAUGACGUCAAGUCAUCAUGCCCCUUAUGUCCAGGGCUUCACGCAUGCUACAAUGGCUGGUACAGAGAGUGGCGAGCCUGUGAGGGUGAGCGAAUCUCGGAAAGCCGGUCUCAGUUCGGAUUGGGGUCUGCAACUCGACCUCAUGAAGUCGGAGUCGCUAGUAAUCGCAGAUCAGCAACGCUGCGGUGAAUACGUUCCCGGGGCUUGUACACACCGCCCGUCAAGUCAUGAAAGUUGGUAACACCCGAAGCCGGUGGCCUAACCGUUGUGGGGGAGCCGUCGAGGGUG